GGAGGUUCUGCUUAAAUGACUGCAUAAAAUCAUCCUUAGCAUAUGGGGCUUGAAAGUAGUGCUGCGUGUUGUCAGAUACCACCAGUUAUAACUGUCUCCAAGAGCAAAGUUCCUUUGGAAACUGCAAACAUUUGAGUAUUACAAUCACAUCUACUUCAGUGUAGCAUCCUGCAUAAAAUGUCUUACCCAGAGUGAUCAAAAAGUAUUAUGACGUGCAUCUACAGGAAGCUCUCAACAUGCAUCAACAGACUUCUCCUCCAGCUGCCUUUGUCAUUGAAAUGUGAAUUUUGCAUAAGGACAUCAUAGAAGGCUAUAAGAACAGAAAUGGGGAAGAAUGCAAAAGAUAGAACAAAAGCCUGAAACCAAAUGUAUCAGCUAGUAUGUGGAAAUGAAUGUACAGUGUGGAUUAUAUUUACAUAUGAUAGUCCAAUCAGAGAACUGAGGUCACAAGGCAAACUGCCACCCCGAAAUUUGGAGAGACAGACUUAUCCGCUGAAAGAAAGCCUAAUCUGCUAAUCUGGUACAAAAGUCCCUGGAAAGCUAAAGUGAUUGAAACACUUGAAUUAGAUGAGGGAACUUACCUAGGACCUUGUCUGGACAUGCCUGCAAUGGACUGGGGGCCUGCCUGCGCACUAGGAAUUCAUGCCUUAUGCAGUAAGGAGAAGUCUGGCCAUUUCAGCUCAUGUGUGGUGGCCUGGUGUUCGUUCUGUGAGGUGGGAGCCUGUUGGUGGGACCCUCUCCUUUUUGAUGAGAGCUUUCUUUUAAUAAAUUUUACCCUUCUUAUCUUUCAA